GGGGGGAACGCGGCGCCUCCGCGGAGCGCGGGACGUCUUCCCCGCCGCUUCUUUCGCCAUGUCCGGCUCGGAGCGCCGCCCGCCCCUUUCCUUUGCCCUUCCCCGGGCGCGCGGGUUCCUUUGGGUUUGACCAAAGUCCGGGGAAAUUUGAGGCCAGAGCAGUGUGUGUGGAGUGCCCCCCCCUCCGCCCCAUCUCUUAUGAAUCUUUGUAUGAUUUGGGAUUGGGGGGUGAGCGGUGCGGGGAGAGUAGAGACCUUUCUAGGAGCGUGCAGCUUGGCUAGCUGACUUGAGUGCACCCUGUCAUCCUGUCUGGCAGUAGAUGAUCUGUCCGGGCUUCACAUGGUCCUAAUAGGAUUAUGUGUGGCCUCCGUGAUUUCUUCUGCGGAACCAGGGCCACUGAGGGUCUCCGUGAGGCAGGGUUGAGAUGUAUGUGUGCACAGGCACCUAUGUGCCUAGCUGUGUAAAUGAGAAGGUCUCCUCCGGAUUUUCUAGUGGGUAGGAGAAGCUUCAGAAUGGAAAGGAAUUGGAUUGUGUGGAUGACAGUGAUCCUUUCUCUUCACCCUCCCCCAUGUGUUAUGCAACAGACGGAGGUGGGUGGGUGGGUUGGUUGGGAUGACAGCAGCUGUCCCAGCAGAGUGACUGAGCUCCCCUCCCACUCUGCUCACAAGGGAGGCUGAGGCUGCCACAGGGUAGCCUGAUCAGGAGGAGGCUGAGCCGAAGACUUUGGUUGCCACGGAUCCUCCUCAUCCUCUUAGAACUCCAGAGCUGGAGGGGACCCUGUGGGAUCACGGCGUCCAGCUCUUGUCAUGGCGGCCCAGUGGGUGGGAUGGCACAUUCCUUAGGCACACUUGGAUGCUGGGCCAGGUGCUUCUGAUGAGCAGCCGCUGGCCCAGGACCUCCAGGCCAAUGUGGACCGCGGUGCUCCUCCUGUGCCUGCCCCGUCUGGGCCUUGGAAUGCCCCUCCACGCGCUCCAGUCUCUGUCGCCGGCCAGGAACGAGUCUGCCCAUGGGCCCCAGCCCCCCAGCCCUUCCGGGGCCCUUCCCGUCACACCCACCGUGCUGGCCACCUCCAGCGAAGCCCCCGCCUUGUCCCUCAACCUGGGGCUCAAUUUCAAGAUCAAGGUGCGUAGCCAGGGGAAGAGCCGGCCCGGCGAGGGGACGGCGGGAGCCACCUCCACCCGGCCAGCCGUUCCCACCCAAUCCCAGGCACCCGGCGGCGGUGCCCGCUUCUGGGCGGAGGCCCUGGGGGGCUCGGGCUGGCCAGGCCCUGGCCCCGCUGCGGCUGAUGAGCUUCCCUCAGAGCCCGGGGGGUGGGCCUGGGAUGGUUCCUCAGCCCGCAGCACCCACCUUGACCCCUGGGCGCCUGCCCCCACGCCCCAGCACCCCUUCUCCCUUUGGCCAAGGCGGGCGGAGAAAGGACCGGUGGCGCCGGCGGUGCCCUCCCAGGAGGAGGGGGAGAGCAAGGAGCUGGAGUUCAAGAUCGACAUCGACCUGACGGCGGGGCUGGGCAAUGAGGGGGCCCUGGCACCCAACGGCAGCGGCAGCAGCAGCAGCAGCCCCGGCAGGCAGUACCCGCUGCUCCCGGGCCUCAGGGUGGGCAUCAAGGAGAUCACCAGCAAACUGGGUCUCUUCGGAUCCACGCUGCCGCCUGAGACAUGGGAACCCCCGGAGUGGAACGCCACAGGCAGCUCCUGGCAGGAAGAGGGGGACUCGCACCCGACUCCAGUGUGGGUCUCAGGACCAGGCCUGGAGUCCAUCAGCCUGUCCGCCUCCCCGGGCAGCGAGGGGGCGUUUGUGGCCCUGCCCGGCUGCCUGCCUGGUGACCGCCCGGAGGACUGCGGCUCCCCGCGGCCGGAGCUCGACUCGCCCCCGCUCUCCUCCCUGCUCCUGCCCUCCCUCCCCCUGUUCGUGCCUCUGCAUUCGGACUGGAACACGGCCCAGGCCGACUGGGGCCUGGCCUGGGAGGCCCACAUCUUCGGCGCGGGCGCCCUCUUUGCUCUCCUGGCCCUGCUCCACCUGCUGCUGCUGGGGGCCGGGGGCGCGCGGGCCGGGCUGCUCUUCGGCGAGGCCUGGGGGCAGCUGGAGCGCUUCCCCGACGUGGCCGUCCGGCUGAUGCACGACCUGGCCCUGCCGUGCCUGACCUCCGCCUUCGCCGUGGCCUUCCUCCUCCUCUCCCUCCGCUCGCGGCUCCAGCGGUCGGCGCGCCCCGGCUCCCGGCCGGCGUGCCUGCUGGCCCUGCUGGUCGUCCUGCACUUCUCGGUGGCGGCGGGGGCCGUCUUGGCCGCUGACCUGCUGAGCCUCUUCCCCUUCGUGCUCCUGGCCUCGCGAGGGGUCUUUGCCCUCCUGGCGGCCGGGCUGUCCUCCUCCUUCCUCAUCUUCUCCUGGGUGGCCCUUCGCCGAGGCCCGAGAGUGGCAGCGGGCCGCCCGCACCGCUCUCCCGGCCGCCUGCUUCGGACUGCUCAGCGCCGCCCUGCAGACCUACGCCAUCCUGCACGCCCUGGGCUUCGGCCUCAGCCAGGACCUCUUCGGGCCCUGGCCCUGGUGGGCCCUGCAGCUGGCGUGCCGGCUCUGCGAGGCGGGGAUGGGGCUGCCCUUGGCCUGCCUCGGCCUCUACCCGCUCCUCUGCCCGCCCUGCGGCCACGAGGGCUGGGGCCGGUGCUGCGGGCGGCUCCUCUGCCUCUCCCCGGACCACCGCGCCGCCGGGGCCGCCGUCAAGGCCCAGAUCCUGCCCAACAACCAUUUCCAGCAGUGGGGCUUGUCCCAGCACCAGAAGCUGGUGGUCUGCGACACCAUCACCCGCAGCGAGUCCGACUACCUCCCGCUCUACGCCCUGCCCGCCGGCGACCCCUCGGGCGCCCGAG
rnacentral:lncRNA from 1 species